rnacentral:rRNA from 1 species
ACGCUCGACACCUACGAGAGGCAGCAGUGGGGAAUAUUGCACAAUGGGGGAAACCCUGAUGCAGCGACGCCGCGUGGAGGAAGAAGGUCUUCGGAUUGUAAACUCCUGUUGUUGGGGAAAAAGAGGAUGGUACCCAACAAGGAAGUGACGGCUAACUACGUGCAGCAGCCGCGGUAAUCUGAGCGGGCUGGCAAGGC